rnacentral:rRNA from 1 species
AUUGAACGCUGGCGGCAUGCUUUACACAUGCAAGUCGAACGGUAACAGGCCGCAAGGUGCUGACGAGUGGCGAACGGGUGAGUAAUGCAUCGGAACGUGCCCAGUCGUGGGGGAUAACUACUCGAAAGAGUAGCUAAUACCGCAUACGAUCUAUGGAUGAAAGCGGGGGACCGUAAGGCCUCGCGCGAUUGGAGCGGCCGAUGUCAGAUUAGGUAGUUGGUGGGGUAAAGGCUCACCAAGCCAACGAUCUGUAGCUGGUCUGAGAGGACGACCAGCCACACUGGGACUGAGACACGGCCCAGACUCCUACGGGAGGCAGCAGUGGGGAAUUUUGGACAAUGGGCGCAAGCCUGAUCCAGCAAUGCCGCGUGCAGGAAGAAGGCCUUCGGGUUGUAAACUGCUUUUGUACGGAACGAAACGGCUCUGGUUAAUACCCGGGGCUAAUGACGGUACCGUAAUAAUAAGCACCGGCUAACUACGUG